UUAGAGUUUGAUCCUGGCUCAGAAUCAACGCUGGCGGCGCGCUUAACACAUGUAAGUCGCACGAGAAAGGGAGCAAUCCUGAGUAUAGUGGCGCACGGGUGAGUAACACGUGGAUGAUCUACCUCCUUGUGGGGAAUAACCCUGGGAAACCGGGGCUAAUACCGCAUACGUCCGAGAGGAGAAAGCCGAAAGGCGCAGGGAGAGGAGUCCGCGGUCGAUUAGCUAGUUGGCAGGGUAAUGGCCUACCAAGGCGACGAUCGAUAGCCGGCCUGAGAGGGCACACGGCCACACUGGCACUGAAACACGGGCCAGACUCCUACGGGAGGCAGCAGUGGGGAAUCUUGCACAAUGGGGGAAACCCUGAUGCAGCGACGCCGCGUGAACGAUGAAGCCCUUCGGGGUGUAAAGUUCUUUCGACGGGGACGAUAAUGACGGUACCCGGAGAAGAAGCUGCGGCUAACUACGUGCCAGCAGCCGCGGUAAUACGUAGGCAGCAAGCGUUGUUCGGAAUUACUGGGCGUAAAGAGUGCGUAGGCGGUUGACUAAGUUUGGUGUGAAAUCUCCCGGCUUAACUGGGAGGGUGCGCCGAAAACUGGCCAGCUAGAGUGUGGGAGAGGAUAGUGGAAUUCCUGGUGUAGCGGUGAAAUGCGUAGAUAUCAGGAGGAACACCUGCGGUGUAGACGGCUAUCUGGACCAUGACUGACGCUGAGGCACGAAAGCGUGGGUAGCAAACAGGAUUAGAUACCCUGGUAGUCCACGCCCUAAACGAUGCAAACUUGGUGUGCGCCCUUCAUUGGGUGCGUGCCGUAGCUAACGCGUUAAGUUUGCCGCCUGGGGAGUACGGUCGCAAGGCUGAAACUCAAAGGAAUUG
rnacentral:rRNA from 1 species